CUUCAUCUUAAGUGCUCCACGGCAGCCACGCAGGUGCAGCCUCGACGCGGAUGCCAGGUAGUUUUAAAACCGUUUUAAGGGGGGGCAUGAUGUUUUUUUACCUGCAUCUGUUUUAAUGUGAUUUUUGACAGUUCGAUGGCACAUGUACACUUUAUUCUAAGACCAAACUCUGUUGUGAUUAUUGUGAUUUAGAACUUGUAAUCACGUGAGAACCUGCAGACUCUGAAAAGACAGAGUGGAAGAAGGGGAUUGUAAACGUGAGUCACACCUGCUGCUAAUAAUUUUUAUUGUUGGUUGCCUCACUGUUCAUAACUCUCUGCUCUGUUGGUUUUAGGAUUAACCCAUGUGCUUUUAGACUUGUCACUGUUUUUUAUCUUCACUGCUCGCUUUUAUUUUUUAUCUUUUUUUAUCUUUUUAAUGUGAUGUCUUGGGGUGUUUUAACCCCUUUUAAUGCCUGGCACUUUUAAAACUUAGUUGACCUUUUAUCUAGUAGUUUUUAAACAGUAACCUGGUGCUGUGCAGGAUUGUGGGUUUUAUUUGCUGUGCUGUCCCCUCGUUUUUAUUGAGCAUGUUGUGUUUUAUUUGUGGGACAACUGUGUUGUUUUAAGUUACCCUGUCACAGCCCAGUUUCUUAAAAAACUACUGUUGGUCCAGUGCCUUGUGUUUUAAUAAAUAUAUUUUAAACCCUAGUUUCUGCCUCCUCCAGUUAAUUCUGGAAACCUGCUUUUAGUUGUGCAGCUAGCAUCCUUCCUGGCUACGAAGGAUUGCUCCCUGCUACAAAUUUGGCGUUGUUGGCAGGAUCAAGAGGCAUUUUUAAGUAGCUGUUUAUUUUAUUGGUCUAUGCGAGCAGUGUGAUAAACAGUGGCAGGUCGAGGUCGUCGAGGAGCCACGGUCCAGCAGCGCCCAGGCAGUGUCAAGCCACAACGCUCGGGGAACAUGGAGGAACUCCAAGCACUCCUGGACCAAGUGCAGCAGCUGAAGGCCGCAAACGAGCAAUUGCAAGCCCAGCUGCAGGCUCGGAGUCAGGAUAAAACAUCUGCAGAGGGCAAUCUGUCUGGAGAAGAGGCCUGAAAGACACUAGUUAGUGGGCUUUUUUUAAGUGUUGAAAGGUGAUGCAAUCCAAGUGAUGAACCCACUGUGUAGAUGUGUGUGUAUCAGUGUGCGUGAACUCAUUGUUUCUAUUUAUGCAUAUUGCUUGUGCAUGUAAGCACACACAAGAGUUUGGGAGUUUCCCUUCUUCAGGUUUAAAACACAAUCUAUGUAAAAAAAAGUAAAAACAGUGACUUUUGUUCUAAUUAUAGUAGUACAAAUAUUGGUUACUUCAUGCAAAAAAUAUUGUUAAAGCCGCUAAAAGUUUGAAGUUUGUAUUCAUAUAAAUAAACGCUUGUAUUUUAUUUCAAUUUUAUGUAUUUUAUUUUAAUUCUAUUUAUUCUGACCAUCUUUUUUGGGGGAUAUUUUGCGUCACUUGGGGACAGAAAUAUUUUUUUUUUUUUUCCCCUGAUUGGUUUAAUAUAAAAGCUUGGACUACAACAGAAAACUGUUCAACUUUAUGACAUUUCAGCAUGCCUAAAAUUUACAAAAAUGAAAACAGAAGGGUUAGGAGGCAGCUAUGAGUCACAGAAAUAUGAAAAUUGUGCCAAAAAGUCCUGCUUGCCUGUUGGAUUAGCAAGCAGUAAAGUUUAAUAUGUUUAUUUUUUAAAAGAUCCCCUACAGACAGUACUCUGCUGGUGUUUCAUUUGCUUAUUAAUUAUGUUUUAAUUUGAAUCUUUUAAUGUACAAUGCUUUGACUGUGCUCAACCAGGGGCAGACUUACCAUGUGAUCUUAUUCUGGAUCAGAAUCUUAAUGGCCUGUUUUUAACAGAGACUUGGAACUCGGGUGCACCAAUUUCAAUAUCUGAGGCCACACCACCUCAUUUUAAUUUCACGAACAAAGACAGAAAACAAGGAAGAGGUGGUGGAACUGCUGCUAUUUUGGAUACUGGUAUUAGUUUUAAAGAAAUUGUUUUUAA
rnacentral:lncRNA from 1 species